GACGAACGCUGGCGGCGUGCUUAACACAUGCAAGUCGAACGGAAAGGCCCUGCUUGCAGGGUACUCGAGUGGCGAACGGGUGAGUAACACGUGGGUGAUCUGCCCUGCACUUCGGGAUAAGCCUGGGAAACUGGGUCUAAUACCGGAUAGUAGCCAUUUUUAGUGUGAUGGUUGGAAAGUUUUUUCGGUGUAGGAUGAGCUCGCGGCCUAUCAGCUUGUUGGUGGGGUAAUGGCCUACCAAGGCGGCGACGGGUAGCCGGCCUGAGAGGGUGGACGGCCACAUUGGGACUGAGAUACGGCCCAGACUCCUACGGGAGGCAGCAGUGGGGAAUAUUGCACAAUGGGCGCAAGCCUGAUGCAGCGACGCCGCGUGGGGGAUGACGGCCUUCGGGUUGUAAACUCCUUUCGCUAGGGACGAAGCUUUUUGUGACGGUACCUAGAGAAGAAGCACCGGCUAACUACGUG
rnacentral:rRNA from 1 species